UACGAAGGGUGCAAGCGUUAUCCGGAUUCAUUGGGUUUAAAGCGCGUGUAGGCGGUCCGGUAAGUCCGCUGUGAAAGUCGAGGGCUCAACCCUCGAAUGCCGGUGGAUACUGUCGGGCUAGAGUACGGAAGAGGCGAGUGGAAUUCCUGGUGUAGCGGUGAAAUGCGCAGAUAUCAGGAGGAACACCAAUUGCGAAGGCAGCUCGCUGGGACGUCACUGACGCUGAGACGCGAAAGCGUGGGGAGCAAACAGG
rnacentral:rRNA from 1 species